GAGACACCCCUAUGGAGCAGGACGUGCUUCAGUGGGGCUUUGGUGCUCACUGAGUCCACCCCUUGAGUGUGUUGCU
rnacentral:pre_miRNA from 1 species